CUUAUGUGCAGCCACCUUUGUUCUCAUAGAUAUGAAUGAGUAGAUAGGACACGCCCCUUUGAGCUGCGUGCUACAGCGAGGCUAAGCUAGUGGGGGAAAAGUUUCAGUGCAUUCCGUUGAUGUAGACGGCGUGAAAACGGAAACAAGUAUGCCGUCUCACUGUGCUGCAUACAAUUACACACUACGUCGUACGAUUGAGACAAGGAAACUUGGAAUGACUUUUCAUAGGUUUCCCAGAGACUAUGGGUUGAGGAGGAAUUGGAAGUUUGUCGGCUUAGACCUGGUGUCAUUCCAUCAGUGUUAAACUUCCCGGCUCAUCUUGGAAGAGUACGUGCCAGAAAGACCACGACCAAGCAGCCUUGAGAUCUUAGGCAGCGUCUCCCUGAGGUCCCUCUCUAUCUCCCCACACAUCCACCAACCACUGGAACACAUCUCCAAAGUUCUGCUGGGCCAGCUCAGCUUCCCCUCAGAAGAAGUACCGCCACCUGCCAGAUGAAGGAGCCUUUUGAGAGGCAGCUGGCAUCGUGAUUGGACUGUACUUUGGUCUGUUCCAAUCCAGCUUCAGCUCCAGAGACGGCAGGCGGGACGAGUCAGCGGAGGCCGGGUGGACGAAGACCAAAGAACUACAGACUCUUCACAACCUGCUCAAACUCUUGGUACAGGACCUCACCACACGGGUCAAGAAGGUUUCCUUCUCAUUUCUACUCUGAA
ensembl:lncRNA